rnacentral:lncRNA from 12 species
AUGCCUGGAUUCCUGGUGGAAGCCGCUGGAGGGCCAGGUGAGUACCGUAAAGCUGGCCUAUUUGCCAGUGGGAAGACCUGGACAUCUAAAAGUGCAUCUUCCGGAGGUACCGUCAGCCCACAGACAGAUCUUAAGCAGCCUGUUGGCUACAGAACCCACCAGAUCAGAGUCCUUUUCCUGGACUUGACCUGUAGGGUACCUCUAGGCACUCAAAGAGCUUUACCCGCUUUCGUGUGGUUAGUGCCCGCGCUGGACCGUAAACCGCUCGAGGUAAGGAACCUAAUGCGUUCGCCCCGUCCGCCCCUGCACUCCGCUCCCGGUAGGGUGCCAGAUUGGCACCAGGAGGCCCCGACCAGCGUUUCUGGCCCCGAUUGCAGGUACCGACCACCCCCGGGCGGACUAGCUCCCCGCCGGGCGAGGGCCGGGCCAGGCGGGUGGCGGGGGCGGGCGGGGCGCUCUCGCGCGGACAGGGCUGCGGCUCGCGUGGGCGCGGCCCGGGGCGGGGGCAAGCGGGCAGGGGCGGGCGCGACGCGUGGCCGCGGACCCGCCAAUGAGCGUCGGGCGGGCGGGGCUCGGGGACGACCGCCGGGGCGCGCGCGGGGUUGGGCGUGCCCACGGGUGACGCCCCUGGUCGGAGCCGCCAAUAAGCGCGCGCGGGCGAUGGCGGGCCUCCCGGCCGGCUCUGGAGGACGCUCCCCC